ensembl:lncRNA
AUUAAAAGGUCUGUAAAACUAGAGGCGCUCUCUCCUGUGAGGAGUGAUCUUGUCUAAAUCAAUAAAUGUCCAUGGUCUGUGUUUUUCAGCUGUGAUUAUUAGGACUGUAUGUGCAGUCAGUGAGUUCUGAGCAGAGCCAAAGUUGGCUUAAGAGCACCAAAAAUGUAUUUACAGCUAUUUGUCCAAACUCUGAAUAACUGUUCCUUUUGUUCUCUGUCCUUUGCUGUUCCUAAACUAUAAGGCAAACGGGUUUUGGCUCUGAAAGUAGUGAAGCUAGGCACGCUUAACUCCAGGCAUAUGACUACUCCAGUUAACAUUUGUAAGAUUUUCCACAGGCUUAAAGCCUUCCAUCUUGUAUCCACCAAAGUGGGGAAAACGUGAUGUUGAAAUACAGUUGAAGCAAAGCAGCAGCUGAACCUCUGCAUUUGUUCUGCACUGAUGGGUGAGGGGCUGCUCUGUGUAGUCAUUCAGCAUCAGGAAUUGCCAUUGUUCGCUUGCUUUCUGAGGAGAGAAUUACUUCUUCAAAGGGAUACUCAGUGCCCAGAAGAGGAGGAGGACAGUCUCUGGGAGAGACAUUUUACUGCUGCUGCAGUUCAAGAUGGAAUGGCAGCAAGCAGACUGCUUGCUGCAGUAGAAGUCCUGCAUAAACCUCUGAGGCAGCUCAGAACACCAUGUGCAAGAAUCCAGGUGCCCAUCUGUAACCCUCGACACCUACAUGUUUUAAAAGCAUGACUCAAGUGUCUUCUGGGAGGAGGAUUUAGGCCCUUGGUCACUGCUGUAUACCCUGAACUUUGCAGUGCUCUGGCUUGGUGCAGGGAUGAGCAAUCACAUGCGCUCUGUAAGGAACUGUUGCUCUUUGGUAAUAUUUCUUCAGGUUAAGCAUGACAAUCUCUCAUCAUUGGUGUAUAUGAUGUGAAGAGCCUCUUUCUCCAUCAUUUCAGAUUAUCUUGUUAGUGGGAUGUAUGUUACAUCAAUUUUGUGUGCCUAAUAAUUUCUACAUUGGAGAAGGUGACUGCUUACAGACAUUUGCUAUCCAAUUUAAUUGCAUUCUUAUUUAACGUUGUUGAUGUCUCAGGUGACUGCUCCAUGGGAGCAUAGGAGAUGUUUCACCUCUUUGUCUAUGUGUGUUUACUGCUUGUACUGCUGAAAAUCCCAUUCAGACUGGUGAUUAAAGGAGUCCAACUAAAUGUCAUCUAAAGAAAAACAGGACAAUGCUGUACAAAUGUUUGCAAAAUGUACUAAUCUGCUGGCACGCUGUGGUGCGAUGCACAAUGUGUUACAUGGCAAGAAUCAUCAGUCUGCCUCCACAGCUUUCCCUUCUGUUGAAACUGCUUUCAACCUAGAUGUUAUUUCUGUCUUUAUUUUUGGCAGCAGGGAGAGCAAGUUUAAGUUCUGAAAGGCAGGCAGUGAGGGAUACAGAACUGCCUGGUGAAGAGGUCAGAAAGGACAGGCUAGCUGAGAGUAGUCAGGACUGUUAAUGCAUUCCUUUCCCCUCUCCUCACAGGGCAUAUGAAGGCAAAAUCCUUCAUGGAACCCAGAGAUCCUUUCCCCAUGCUUUCAUCUCACCCUCCCUGUAAGCUUCAUGUCAAAGCCAGCCUCUUCCUGCUGGAGGACAACUGGAUGCGAUUCCUUUUAGAGGCUGUCAGUGCUUCUUCCGUACCUGCUCUGUGGAGAAGCUGUUGAGUGACAUGAAACACUUUUUCUAUGGACUGGAUUAGUGAACCUUCUUUCCACGCUGCCUUGCUUCCCCUUCUGCCUCCAUUAGCCCUUGCUAUGUGGCCGAAGCUGGGCUGUUGGAUACCAAAAUAAUGUUGGAUAAUUUCUUCCAUGUUUGCUUCUCACUGAGGAGCUUUGUUAUUAUAGGAAACUUGCACUUUUGAAGAGAAAAUUGACCCAUUUUUUUGGAACUAGAUCAGGAAUUGUUGUGUCUAUGUAUAUUUAUUUAUGCUUCUCCAUUUAUAACAUGUGGAAUCACAGGCACUGUCCUGCACUAUGUCCACUCUGUGGUCCUUCCACAUAAAUUCACUGGCUGCAAUCUCACUGAGCAUUCUGUAAGCGAGAAGAAAAUGGCAUCUAGUCUCCCAGUGGAAGUGCCAUGGAUGAGUUCUAAUAAGUGAAAACUUCCACC